rnacentral:sRNA from 12 species
UGGGCUGGCCGAAAGGCCCAGGUCCACCGGAGGCGGGGGCAUUCCCC